GAUGAACGCUGGCGGCGUGCCUAAUACAUGCAAGUCGAACGAGGUGCUUUUGUAGCAAUACGAGAGUAUCCUAGUGGCGAACGGGUGAGUAACGCGUUGGUGACCUACCCAAAGUGUGGGAUAACAGUCCGAAAGGAUUGCUAAUACCGCAUGUGGUCUUCGGAUUUAGAAACUGAUGACUAAAGGAGCAAUUCGCUUUGGGAGGGACCUGCGUCCCAUCAGCUAGUUGGUGAGGUAAUGGCUCACCAAGGCUACGACGGGUAGGGGACCUGAGAGGGUGACCCCCCCACAAUGGAACUGAAACACGGUCCAUACACCUACGGGUGGCAGCAGUAGGGAAUAUUGCACAAUGGGCGAAAGCCUGAUGCAGCAACGCCGCGUGUGCGAUGAAGGCCUUCGGGUCGUAAAGCACUUUUCUGGGAGAUGAGCAAGGACAGUAUCUCAGGAAUAAGUCUCGGCUAACUACGUGCCAGCAGCCGCGGUAAU
rnacentral:rRNA from 1 species